UACCUGCUGGACCAAGUGUGAUUCAAAAGCUGCUUUCUUCAGAGUGUAACCAAGACAGACAGAAAGUUGACUUCAUCUUCAGAAAGAGACCAUGUCUGACCAGGUUAAGACUUCAGGAGCAGCAGACAAUAUGUGUAUGGUGCUGUUUGCCAUGGAAAGAUCUGGGCAUAUCAAGAUUGGACUGCCCCCAAAUAAUUACAAUGACAACUUCAGUGAGUAUUCGAAGUAUGUGGGAAAUCUGCAAGGCAUCUCUCACGUUGCCUUCAGCCCUCAAGGAACAAUGUUUGCAGUCUGUGAUGCACCGCUGUAUUCUGGGUCUCCUCCAGCGAAUCCAGAUGAGAACUGGCUGAAGCAGAAAGCUCGGUGUGUAGGAAGGUCUGGGUGGGAUCAAGUUCAUUCCUUCUUCUUCCAUCCAAACGGCGCACUCUAUGUUGUCAUGAAGAGUGGUGAACUGUACAGGGGUCCCCCUCCUGAGAAUGAGUACGUGUCCUGGAUGUAGAGGGUUGCUAUGAA